rnacentral:rRNA from 1 species
CCUACGGGAGGCAGCAGUGAGGAAUAUUGGUCAAUGGACGAGAGUCUGAACCAGCCAAGUAGCGUGAAGGAUGACUGCCCUAUGGGUUGUAAACCUCUUUUGUCGGGGAGCAAAAGCCGGACGUGUCCGGCUGUGGGAGUACCCGAAGAAAAAGCAUCGGCUAACUCCGUGCCAGCAGCCGCGGUAAUACGGAGGAUGCGAGCGUUAUCCGGAUUUAUUGGGUUAAAAGGGUGCGCAGGCGGAUUUUUAAGUCAGCGGUCAAAUCGUGGGGCUCAACCCCAUCCAGCCGUUGAAACUGGGGAUCUAGAGUGUGCGAGAGGUAUGCGGAAUGCGUGGUGUAGCGGUGAAAUGCAUAGAUAUCACGCAGAACCCCGAUUGCGAAGGCAGCAUACCGGUGCACAACUGACGCUCAGGCACGAAAGCGUGGGUAUCGAACAGGAUUAGAUACCCCAGUAGUC